CGGAGGAUGCAAGCGUUAUCCGGAAUUAUUGGGCGUAAAGCGUCGUAGGCGGUUAAUUAAGUCAGUUGUUAAAGACUGCAGCUCAACUGUGGGAGAGCAACUGAAACUGGUUAACUAGAGUAUGGUAGGGGUAGAGGGAAUUCCUAGUGUAGCGGUGAAAUGCGUAGAUAUUAGGAAGAACACCAGUGGCGAAGGCGCUCUACUGGGCCAAGACUGACGCUGAUGGACGAAAGCUAGGGGAGCGAAAGGGAUUAGAUACCCCUGUAGUCCUAGCUGUAAACGAUGGAUACUAGGUGUUGUGCGUAUCGACCCGUGCAGUACCGAAGCAAACGCGUUAAGUAUCCCGCCUGGGGAGUACGCACGCAAGUGUGAAACUCAAAGGAAUUGACGGGGGCCCGCACAAGCGGUGGAGUAUGUGGUUUAAUUCGAUGCAACGCGAAGAACCUUACCAGGACUUGACAUCCCUCGAAUAUCUAAGAAAUUAGAUAGUGCCUUCGGGAGCGAGGAGACAGGUGGUGCAUGGCUGUCGUCAGCUCGUGUCGUGAGAUGUUGGGUUAAGUCCCGCAACGAGCGCAACCCACGUCUUUAGUUGCCAUCAUUCAGUUGGGCACUCUGGAGAGACUGCCGGGGACAACUCGGAGGAAGGUGUGGACGACGUCAAGUCAUCAUGCCCCUUACGUUCUGGGCUACACACGUACUACAAUGCAACGGACAAAGGGCAGCCAGCUAGCGAUAGUGAGCUAAUCCCAUAAACCGUUGCUCAGUUCAGAUUGCAGGCUGCAACUCGCCUGCAUGAAGGAGGAAUCGCUAGUAAUCGCAGGUCAGCAUACUGCGGUGAAUACGUUNCCNGGCC
rnacentral:rRNA from 1 species